AAUGAACGCUGGCGGCAGGCCUAACACAUGCAAGUCGAACGAAGCCUUCGGGCUUAGUGGCGGACGGGUGAGUAACGCGUGGGAACAUACCCAAAGGUACGGAAUAGCCUCGGGAAACUGGGAGUAAUACCGUAUGUGCCCUUUCACUGUAGUGGUGGGAGGGGAAAGAUUUAUCGCCUUUGGAUUGGCCCGCGUUGGAUUAGGUAGUUGGUGGGGUAAUGGCCUACCAAGCCGACGAUCCAUAGCUGGUUUGAGAGGAUGAUCAGCCACACUGGGACUGAGACACGGCCCAGACUCCUACGGGAGGCAGCAGUGGGGAAUCUUAGACAAUGGGCGCAAGCCUGAUCUAGCCAUGCCGCGUGAUCGAUGAAGGCCUUAGGGUUGUAAAGAUCUUUCAGAUGGGAAGAUAAUGACG
rnacentral:rRNA from 1 species